ensembl:lncRNA
CUGGUAAUUCAGAAACAAUAGGCAGGGAGGCCAUUGAUAAUAACAUAUGCAGUCUGCUGGAGACAGAGAGAGGCAGAGAAGGCAGGAAAACACUGGUGAGCGUAUAUGAGAAUGGGGAGAGAAGAAGAGAUGAUAGGAGGAGUGAUAUGAACAACGGGGAGAACAGAGGUAUAGCGAGUGAGUGGCUCUGGACAACAGCAGACAGUGUCUCAGUCAGGAGUUGAGAGAACUAAAAUAUGAUUGGAUGAUAUGUAGUGUAGAGCAGACAGAGCUUGGGGAAGACAGUGUGUGACUUCAUUAAAGGGGUCAGGGCAUAACAGAAGGACAGGCUUACAGAUUCGUGAGCUGGUGGUUGGUCAGAAGCUGCUGGCAGUGUUAUUUUCUCUCCCCUCUCUCUCUUUGCCAUUUCUCUCUCCAGCUAAAGUUUAGGUCAGAGUGAGCUCUAUGGCUGAGUGUAUUCUGUCAGAGCAGAGACACAGGGCUGAAGAUAGAGACAUAGAGUUGAUCACGUGUUACUGUUUCUUCCCUGCUUUGGAAAGUUAAGAGAAUCACUCAAUAUAAAAAGCUUCAGCCCUGACCGAUGGGAUUCCUCUGAAUGACGGGAUACUUCUGAAUGACGGGAUACUUCUGAAUGAUGGGAUACUUCUGAAUGACGGGAUACUUCUGAAUGACGGGAUACUUCUGAAUGACGGGAUACGUCUGAAUGAAUGGAUACUUCUGAAUGACGGGAUACUUCUGAAUGACGGGAUACUUCUGAAUGACGGGACACUUCUGAAUGACGGGAUACUUCUGAAUGACGGGAUACUUCUGAAUGACGGGAUACUUCUGAAUGACGGAAUACUUCUGAAUGAUGGGAUACUUCUGAAUGAUGGGAUACUUCUGAAUGAUGGGAUACUUCUGAAUGACGGGAUACUUCCCUCACUGAGAAUAUCAUGUGGAACUAAAUCUGAAAAAUAUAUUUGGAUUGAAAUGGGAGCGGAGCAAUGGGAGCAGAGCAUUCAGAGUCGGCAGUGCGUUGGGACCAGUAAUGUGAGUCGGCAUCCGCAGGCUGGGCGCGGCCAAGUCCCCACCCCCCUCUUCCCUGAAUGCGACGCAGCUGCUUUUCAGAACCCAACCGCUUGAGUCCAUUCAUCCUGAGAGCGAACAAAACAGUGGCUAUUUAUUAGAAUACUUGUUUUGUAUUGUUCUGCACCAAACAAAAGAGGCGUCAUUAUGUAAGAAGCAAACCCCUUUUCGCCGAGAGAAACAAUAACUUGAAAUGGUAUUUUAGAGUAUAUAAUAAAUGUCAUUUCUUCUUGUCUCUCGCCUCAGUGUGUGUUGAGUGGUGGGUUUGGGCACCGGGCACGGAUGGCACCGACAGCCGCUAGAGUGUAGUGGGGAUGGCGGUCUUACAAUAAGCUUUGGUGGGUUUAGGACGGCGUUAAGAGGAGGGGGAAGGAAUCUUCUCAUACUUCACUGGCUACGAUAUGAGGGACGACCAGGGAGACUUGCCUCAAUUUGCAUAACCUCGGCUGUUUUACACACAAGGAGGUUGGUUAGUCUAUCUUUCCCUUGCCGCGUCUUCAUUUUCUGGUUGCUGUUGUAGAAAUACCUUUC